rnacentral:rRNA from 1 species
UACGUAGGGGGCAAGCGUUGUCCGGAUUUAUUGGGCGUAAAGAGCGUGUAGGCGGCCAAGCAGGUCCGCUGUGAAAACUCGAGGCUCAACCUCGAGACGUCGGUGGAAACCGUUUGGCUAGAGUCCGGAAGAGGAGAGUGGAAUUCCCGGUGUAGCGGUGAAAUGCGCAGAUAUCGGGAAGAACACCCGUGGCGAAGGCGGUCUGCUGGGCCGUUGCUGACGCUGAGGCGCGACAGCGUGGGGAGCAAACAGG